ensembl:snRNA U6 U6 spliceosomal RNA
GUGCUCAUUUCAACAGCACAAAUGCUAAAAUUGGAAAAAUACAGAGAUUAGCAUGGCCGCCAAACAAAGAUAACACGCAAAUUCAUGAAACAUUACAUAGUUUU